rnacentral:lncRNA from 1 species
AGGACAGGGAGAAAGCAUGAUAUGAGAUACUCGUGCUCUCAACCUUUAUGAUAUGAAAUACUUGUGCUCUAGAUGGGUUGUUUGCAGGGGUAUCCCAGGGGAUGAAAAAUACAGAGUGACUCGAGAGGGUUUGUUGGAAAGCCAUUUCAGAGAGGAUGAAGGGUUAAGUGAGGCUGAAAGUUGGGUGAGAUUGCUUCACUUUGAAGUUCAACAUUUAUAGAAUUUUCUUAAUGGCUGGGAAGGCAUUGUUCCAUUACUCGUGUCGGCAAGCCUGGGAUAAUUUAACAGUAGUUUCCACGUGCAUUCCGCUUCUCCAAAAAAAUUUCGACAGAUUGCGCGUGAUUUACGCAACGCAGAUGUGCAAAUUGACAGAUGCUGACACGUCUCGAUAAAGCAGAGGUCUCUUUAAUAUCCGGAAUUUACGCUUCGAGUUCUGAGCUUCGUUGAGGGCAGAGAUUGCAUGUGACAAGUGCUGACGAGGCUGAGAGAGAUAGAUGGUUGGAAUCGGUGCUUCGACAGACUGCCCGUGAUUUUCGCAAAGCUGAGUUGCGUGUGAUGGGUG